AUUGAACGCUGGCGGCAGGCCUAACACAUGCAAGUCGAACGAGUGGCGGACGGGUGAGUAAUGUCUGGGAAACUGCCCGAUGGAGGGGGAUAACUACUGGAAACGGUAGCUAAUACCGCAUACCAUCGGAUGUGCCCAGAUGGGAUUAGCUAGUGGGGGGGGUAAAGGCACUCCAAGGCGACGAUCCCUAGCUGGUCUGAGAGGAUGACCAGCCAAACUGGAACUGAGACACGGCCCAGACUCCUACGGGAGGCAGCAGUGGGGAAUAUUGGACAAUGGGCGCAAGCCUGAUGCAGCCAUGCCGCGUGGAUGAAGAAGGCCUUCGGGUUGUAAAGUACUUUCAGCGGGGAGGCGGUACCCGCAGAAGAAGCACCGGCUAACUCCGUGCCAGCAGCCGCGGUAAUAC
rnacentral:rRNA from 1 species